rnacentral:rRNA from 1 species
CAAAUCAGGUAGGACUACCCGCUGAACUUAAGCAUAUCAAUAAGCGGAGGAAAAGAAACUAACAAGGAUUCCCCUAGUAACUGCGAGUGAAGCGGGAAAAGCUCAAAUUUAAAAUCUGGCGGUCUUCGGCCGUCCGAGUUGUAAUCUGGAGAAGCGUUUUCCGCGCUGGACCGUGUACAAGUCUCUUGGAACAGAGCGUCAUAGAGGGUGAGAAUCCCGUCUUUGACACGGACUACCAGUGCUAUGUGAUGCGCUCUCGAUGAGUCGAGUUGUUUGGGAAUGCAGCUCAAAAUGGGUGGUAAAUUCCAUCUAAAGCUAAAUAUUGGCGAGAGACCGAUAGCGAACAAGUACCGUGAGGGAAAGAUGAAAAGCACUUUGGAAAGAGAGUUAAACAGUACGUGAAAUUGCUGAAAGGGAAACGAUUGAAGUCAGUCGCGUGUGCUAGAACUCAGCCUUGCUUUUGCUUGGUGCAUUUUCUAGUGUACGGGCCAGCAUCAGUUUUGGCCGCCGGAAAAAGGCCUUGGGAAUGUGGCACCUUCGGGUGUGUUAUAGCCCUUGGUUGUAUACGGUGGCUGGGACUGAGGAACAUAGCAUGCCUUUACGGCGGGGCUUCGGCCACCUUCAUGCUUUGGAUGCUGGCGUAAUGGCUUUAAACGACCCGUCUUGAAACACGGACCAAGGAGUCUAACAUGCCUGCGAGUGUUUGGGUGGAAAACCCGAGCGCGUAAUGAAAGUGAAAGUUGGGACUUCUGUCGUGGAAGGCACCGACGCCCGGACCAGACCUUCUGUGACGGAUCCGCGGUAGAGCAUGUAUGUUGGGACCCGAAAGAUGGUGAACUAUGCCUGAAUAGGGUGAAGCCAGAGGAAACUCUGGUGGAGGCUCGUAGCGAUUCUGACGUGCAAAUCGAUCGUCAAAUUUGGGUAUAGGGGCGAAAGACUAAUCGAACCAUCUAGUAGCUGGUUCC